rnacentral:rRNA from 1 species
AUGUCAGGGCCAUACCUUGAGAGCGCACGAGAUACAGGAGUGGCAAGUUUGACAUCAAUGGUGAUGUCGACAGCCAGGGACGUCAUGGCCACAACUUGGUACUCCUCCUGGUCUACUGGUUCGACCAUUGGAGGGGUGGCCGUGCUGUCGUUGAUGUCGACCACAGGCUCAAGGAAGGUGGUAGCAGUGGCGUCAUGGACCUCGUUGACGAUGCCGAUGGUGGCAACCUGGUGCGAGCAUUCGGUCGAACAUGUGACGUGCACCAACUCCAUGCAAUCAGGGGACGCAUCAUGGACGAUCUGGAGGACCUCCGGGGCCUUGAAGGUGGAGAAGGAGACGUCGGUGGAGACUGCAGUGACACUGGUGUCGAUGGUGCGGUCGACUACAAGCUCGACCACUUGGUGGAUGGGGCUGACCGUGGGAUCGAGGUGGACGGCGGUGGCGGCGUCAUGGACCUCGUCAAUGCUAUCGACCGUGGGCUCGAGGUGGACGGCGGUGGCGGCACCAUGGACCUCGUCGAUGCUAUCGAUGGUGUCGACCUGGGUCGAGCACUCCAUCGAACAGGUGACGGGCACCAUCGCGAUGCACACCGGGGACGAAUCAUGGACGAGCUCAAGGACCUCCGGGGCCUUGGCGGUGGAGAAGGAGACACUGCUGGGGUCGAUGGUGAGGUCGGUGCUGGGCAUGACCAGGGCCGAUGGUUUUUUAGACGAGGAAGCAGCCGAGUCGAGUUGUGCGUUAGCAGCAACGAGCUCAGCAGUCAUGCCCUCAAUCCUGGAGAUGAAGGAUGCGAGAUACCAUAUCGUCUGCUCCUUGGCCGACAUGGCAUCCCACUCCGGUGGUAAGUCAGCGGGCAUGGCGUCGUCGCCGGUAGAACAGAGAGGAAUCAAGUGUGGAAGAAAAAAUUGGGGAAAAUUUGAGGGGUGGAAGGGUGGUGGCCUGGCUCUGAAUACCAGAUGUAAGGUACUAGAUAUCUCUCUCGAUUACAAGCACGAAUUACAGUAG